UUCCCAGCAUCAGGGUCUUUUCAAAUGAGUGGGUUCUUCGCAUCAGGUGGCCAAAGUAUUGAAGUUUCAGCUUCAGCAUCAGUCCUUCCAAUGAAUAUUCAGGACUGACUUCCUUCAGGAUCGACUGGUUGACUCUCCUUGCAAUUCAAGGGACUCUCAAAAUUCUUCUCCA